GUCGAGGAUUGUCGAGCGGUCUAAGGCGCCAGACUCAAGUUCUGGUCUUCGCUGAGGGCGUGGGUUCGAAUCCCACUUCUGACA
rnacentral:tRNA from 1 species